GCAGGGAGAGGUGCUGGCCAGGGGCAUUCUGCCCUGGUGGGGCUCUCUGGGUGCCUGUAGGAAUUCCAGCAGGAGAUGCAGGGAUGGUUUGGUUUUGGGAAGCCCCAGGCCCUCUGGAACACCUCUGGGUGCUGACUGUGCUCCUGUAAUAAGGAUAAAAAUAGGACAUAAAGUGCGUGGAAAGGAUAAAAUAUAGGUGAAAAGUUUAGGUGUGUGCUCAGAGUCAGCUCUGAGUGGCUCCUGGCAGUGCUGCUCCAACCCUGCAGCCUGGAGCUGCUGCUUUCCAUGACAGAAACCACCAGGAGACAAGAGAUUUGGGAGCUGUUGUGCCUGCAGGAGGCUCUGAGUGGGAGGAGAGUGGCUCCAGCACAAGCCCAUGGACGGAAACAUGCCUUAUUAUUUCUAGAAGUUUAGAGAAAGGAAGAGUGUUUUCAAUCCGAGUUAGAAGUAACACUGGAUGAUUUCAAGCAACUGCUUUCUCAGGUUAUUGUUCAUUGUGAGAUGUGAGGCAAAAGAAGGCAUUUCCCUGCUUUUCCUUGGUUGAGUUCCCUGUCCACUGCUGACAGCCCUGCUGGAACAGAGUUCUUGCUGCUGCUGCAAAGCACAGAGAGAAAAUCCCCUCUCGAGCUCGUGGGUGAAAAUGCAC